rnacentral:lncRNA from 1 species
AUGAAAGUGAAAGAGUUUAUAGGGACAGAUCUGCCAGGACCUGCUGAGGUAAACAACAUCAGAAAGUCGGUGUUCGACACAAAGUUCCUCAGAGUAAACACUCAGACGGCUGGUCUGCGGGUGGAGGUGCAUCAGAUUAGAUGAGGAAGAGAGGACACUCAGAGGAAGACUGCAGCAAGAGACCACAAAAGAGGAAAUCUACUGUAAACAUGUCGGGGUGGUGGCCUUGGAGCAAUACAGAAGACGCCAGUACAUCACAGGGAAAGCUGAAGUUCCGCCGUUCUGGGGAUGAAAGCCAACAUCGUUUGGCUACAGAAUUUAUAAAACAAUUAACAGAAAAAAUACCCAGCCUGACCGAGGUGUCUGCAGAAGAAGAAAAAGAGGAUAUCUUUCUGGUGUUCUCUCCGAAUGGAACUAACAGGAAUUUACCAGAAACCAAGCCUAGCGUUCGAGUGGUUCUCCGUGACAUUUACCCAGAGGACUCUGAACUGGACAGCAGCAGCAGCAGCAGCAGCAGUUCACAGGGAAAAAAUACACUGACUGUGGAAUUUUGGUCCCAAGACGGUAUCAGUAUACCAGAUCUGGAUACAGUAUCGGAGUGGAUAAACAGUCAGAAACAGCAACUGAUUCCUGAUUCAUCAGUAGUACAACCUGCAGCACAACCAGGUGAGUCUAAGAAACCGAUUCAUCUGAUAACGAUAUAUAUACACGUAUUGGUAGUAACCUAUCAGGUAAGCUGGGUGGUGAGACCAGUAAAGUAAACAAAAGUGUAAUUCUUUAAAAAAACAUUUCAGACAAGUCAGACAAACACUAAGCUAGUGCUUAGCGCAGUUAACGGCUAAUACUAAUGCUGCUCCAGCAGUGCUAGCCGGUGUAAUCAGCAGGCUACAGGGUGAUAAUUCUCACCUCUGAACGGAAAAAGAGCUAGCGCUUAGUGCUGUGGUUAGCAGUUAAUUCUAAUGCUGCUCCAGUCUGGGUGCUGGAGAACUAAACUGAAACUCCUGUAUAACUCUGUACUUCAG